rnacentral:lncRNA from 1 species
AUACAGGCCAUAAUUUAACAUGUGUUAACACUGUGCAAUGAAAAACACAGAAAUGGAAUUCCAUGCCCUUUCCUAGGUUGGCCAAGAUAGAGAGACAGCUACUCAGUGCUGGCGGGAAGGAGAGAGAGGGGACUCCUCCCGUCAGGUGGGCAGGGCACUGUAUUGUUUUGUUUGUCCCCAAAGCCUUGCAGGUCUUGGUCUUCUCCUCACAACGCUGGGAUGCUACGGGAGCGGCCUGAUCUCCGGGCAGAGCAGGUCAUCUCGGCCGCCCCUGGGGCGAGGGCCAGCUGGAAUGAGCGGGUCUUCCGGUCACUUCUGGACACAGGAGAUGCUCCUGGGACAGUCCCGAGGCACGAGGGCCCUGUGUGACCAGUCAGAAGCGUCCUCAACACAAAGCAGGGGUUCUUCAUGCACGAUGACCAGCCGGAUACCGCAGUCCCCAGUCUGCCCCUCCCCCGCCUCUCUUUUCCUUUCAUAUAGAUUUCUUGCUCCUCUGGGACAGCACCCCACCCCUAAUGCAGCAUUCACCCUUUUGCGGGGGGGGGGGGUUCCUACUGGAAAUCAAAUUUAGGGUGUUCACGCCGAGUGACAUGGUUGAUAGACUGCAUCAACUUGAGAAGCCUAGAAGCUUGUCAGUAACUCAGCAGCUCUCCAUCCUGGGGCAUAGAGGACACACCCGUACUGCUCUAAGAUGUUGUUCAUUGUGUUGCGAAAUUUACAAAUUUAAGCAGGGGGCCAGGGUCCCCCAUUUGUAGACAUCUUGAGCCUGUGGAAGAGGAGGGCAGGGAGAUGCUGUGGGCACUGCACCCACCCAAGGGCCUUUAGCCUGCGUACCACAUGAGGGAGGAAAAGAGGCUCGUUCCUGCUCUUGCUCUGGCUGCUUUGCUGUCUUCUGCCAACUCCAACUGUUGCCCCUGUGCCAGGCCACCCUGCCGCGGAGCCAGCAGAUUGCAGGCUGAAAUCUCCACAAACCGUGAGCUAAAUAAACCUUUCCCUCUUCA